UAUAACUUAGUGUAAAGUGCACGAAGGCCUUUGAAGCCUAAAGAUUAAGUUCAAUUCUUACAGUUAUAA
rnacentral:tRNA from 1 species